rnacentral:ncRNA from 2 species
UAUGCUAUACUAGAUGAGUUGCUUUAGCAGCCCUUGACACUUCCUGCCUUUGGUCAAGCAUAUUAUAAGCGGUUAAGCCGCUAAAGGAGAAAAGAAUG